rnacentral:rRNA from 1 species
UACGUAGGGUGCAAGCGUUGUCCGGAAUUAUUGGGCGUAAAGGGCUCGUAGGCGGUCUGUCACGUCGGGAGUGAAAACUCGGGGCUUAACCCCGAGCCUGCUUCCGAUACGGGCAGACUAGAGGUAUGCAGGGGAGAAUGGAAUUCCUGGUGUAGCGGUGAAAUGCGCAGAUAUCAGGAGGAACACCGGUGGCGAAGGCGGUUCUCUGGGAAUGUCCUGACGCUGAGGAGCGAAAGUGUGGGGAGCGAACAGG